GGCAAGGUGUCUGAUUCAUUUCUGGGAGAAUGCAGUGAUAACUGUUCCCAGGCUGUAUAGUUUUCAGUGUUCUUGCAGAAGAAUGGGAAUAUGUCUUCAACAGAGUGUGACAUUUAACUGAGUUGCUGGAAUAAUGUCUAACCUGCAAGCUGUAUGACUGAGCAGCCAUGUAUUUUGAUGACUUGGGGAAAAUGUCCUAGGAUGCUGUGUCAAAAACCCCUACAAGCAUAAGUAACAUCAAAGUUGCUGGCUUGUGCUAACAACAGAUUUCUGGUCCAGUGAGUGCAGUAUGCUGCCAUUACCUGGUACUAAGAUGAUAGUUAAGGAAACUUUGAUCACCUCCAAAUUCAGUAAAUCCAAGAUGCUUAUUUUUCAGUGUGUCCAAAUGACAAAUGGAAAGCAUGAAGAUGCAACUCUCCAGAAGAAUGGUAAGCUGAAUAAGGAAACUGUCAGCAAUGAUACACUCUCGUAA
rnacentral:lncRNA from 1 species